UACAGGGGGUGCAAACGUUGUUCGGAAUCAUUGGGCGUAAAGCGCACGUAGGCGGUUCGUUAUGUCGGAUGUGAAAGCCCUUGGCUUAACCGAGGAAGUGCAUCCGAAACUGGCGAGCUAGAGUACUAAAGAGGAUCGCGGAAUUCCCGGUGUAGAGGUGAAAUUCGUAGAUAUCGGGAGGAACGCCGGUGGCGAAGGCGGCGAUCUGGGUAGAUACUGACGCUGAGGUGCGAAAGCGUGGGGAGCAAACAGG
rnacentral:rRNA from 1 species